UACGGAGGGAGCUAGCGUUGUUCGGAAUUACUGGGCGUAAAGCGCACGUAGGCGGAUUCGUAAGUCAGGGGUGAAAUCCCGGGGCUCAACCUCGGAACUGCCUUUGAUACUGCGGGUCUUGAGUCCGAUAGAGGUGGGUGGAAUUCCUAGUGUAGAGGUGAAAUUCGUAGAUAUUAGGAAGAACACCGGUGGCGAAGGCGGCCCACUGGAUCGGUACUGACGCUGAGGUGCGAAAGCGUGGGGAGCAAACAGG
rnacentral:rRNA from 1 species